rfam:Metarhizium robertsii ARSEF 23 MAA_Scf_6, whole genome shotgun sequence.
ACAUACGACCAUAGCCACUAGCAGACCUCGCAAACCCGUCCGAUCUUGUACGAUAACCUAGUGAGCGCUGGAUUAGUAGUUGGGUCGGUGACGACCAGCGAAUACCCAGUGUUGUAUGUU